CGUCGCAGUGACCCGCAACAACUAUCCCAAUGGAGAAAUAUUCUCAUCGCUGGCUUACAAUCACAUCGGUGAUGUAAUAACUUUCAGCUCAGCAGACAUUCCUGUCUCUGAUCCUAACUACGUUAGAGGUACAGGCCGAGUUGUAUCUGAUGGCAAAAUGAUCUUCAGAUUCGGUAUUGGAGAUUCUAGCCAAGAUGCUGAUAUGACUGUGGUCGCUCUAAGUGACGACAUCCUUGGUCUUUUCGGCUGCGUCAACGGAGACGAGUCUAGCGCAAUUACAUGGCUGUCAACGAGACAAGAAAAUCCGGACGAGAAAGUUAAGGCAGAGAUUCAAAAGGUUUUGGACUCAUACGUAGAUCCUAGCACAAACCAAAAGGCA